rnacentral:rRNA from 1 species
GAUGAACGCUGGCGGCGUGCCUAAUACAUGCAAGUCGAGCGAACGGACGAGAAGCUUGCUUCUCUGAUGUUAGCGGCGGACGGGUGAGUAACACGUGGAUAACCUACCUAUAAGACUGGGAUAACUUCGGGAAACCGGAGCUAAUACCGGAUAAUAUUUUGAACCGCAUGGUUCAAAAGUGAAAGACGGUCUUGCUGUCACUUAUAGAUGGAUCCGCGCUGCAUUAGCUAGUUGGUAAGGUAACGGCUUACCAAGGCAACGAUGCAUAGCCGACCUGAGAGGGUGAUCGGCCACACUGGAACUGAGACACGGUCCAGACUCCUACGGGAAGCAGCAGUAGGGAAUCUUCCGCAAUGGGCGAAAGCCUGACGGAGCAACGCCGCGUGAGUGAUGAAGGUCUUCGGAUCGUAAAACUCUGUUAUUAGGGAAGAACAUAUGUGUAAGUAACUGUGCACAUCUUGACGGUACCUAAUCAGAAAGCCACGGCUAACUACGUGCCAGCAGCCGCGGUAAUACGUAGGUGGCAAGCGUUAUCCGGAAUUAUUGGGCGUAAAGCGCGCGUAGGCGGUUUUUUAAGUCUGAUGUGAAAGCCCACGGCUCAACCGUGGAGGGUCAUUGGAAACUGGAAAACUUGAGUGCAGAAGAGGAAAGUGGAAUUCCAUGUGUAGCGGUGAAAUGCGCAGAGAUAUGGAGGAACACCAGUGGCGAAGGCGACUUUCUGGUCUGUAACUGACGCUGAUGUGCGAAAGCGUGGGGAUCAAACAGGAUUAGAUACCCUGGUAGUCCACGCCGUAAACGAUGAGUGCUAAGUGUUAGGGGGUUUCCGCCCCUUAGUGCUGCAGCUAACGCAUUAAGCACUCCGCCUGGGGAGUACGACCGCAAGGUUGAAACUCAAAGGAAUUGACGGGGACCCGCACAAGCGGUGGAGCAUGUGGUUUAAUUCGAAGCAACGCGAAGAACCUUACCAAAUCUUGACAUCCUUUGACAACUCUAGAGAUAGAGCCUUCCCCUUCGGGGGACAAAGUGACAGGUGGUGCAUGGUUGUCGUCAGCUCGUGUCGUGAGACGUUGGGUUAAGUCCCGCAACGAGCGCAACCCUUAAGCUUAGUUGCCAUCAUUAAGUUGGGCACUCUAAGUUGACUGCCGGUGACAAACCGGAGGAAGGUGGGGAUGACGUCAAAUCAUCAUGCCCCUUAUGAUUUGGGCUACACACGUGCUACAAUGGACAAUACAAAGGGCAGCGAAACCGCGAGGUCAAGCAAAUCCCAUAAAGUUGUUCUCAGUUCGGAUUGUAGUCUGCAACUCGACUACAUGAAGCUGGAAUCGCUAGUAAUCGUAGAUCAGCAUGCUACGGUGAAUACGUUCCCGGGUCU